AACAUAUUUCUUUCUUCUAGACCAUCUAUACUUAAAUCUUACACUGCAGCAUCUUGUCCAUAUCAAAGAUGUAUUCCACAGGUUAGCCAAGAGGAAGGAGUUGGUCAUUGCUCUUGGCAGUUCAUCCCUCUCAAGGAAUACUCCCCAUGUGAGCUGAACUGUGAAAAAAAAAAAAACAUGAGAAAGGCUCUCUCUGGUGAGAGAGAUCAAAAUGUCAUAUUUUGAACCCUUUUGACAAGUAGUCCACAGUGUUCCCAGAGGCAUCUGAGAAGACUCUCUAGUCGUUGCUGCAAGCUGAGUGUCACCACACCACUGUGACUCAAAAGCUUUCUCUAAUGGUGAAGUCACAAUGCAGUCAUCCUGGGGAGAUUUCAGAAGAGCUCACAAAGCAGUCAGAAAAACAUAUAUUUUUAACGUUGAUUACAAAAUGGAAAAUGCUGAAAGCAAAAAUCAUAAGUGUAACGAUAUUUAGAUAUGAUUAAUAUUGCUCAGAAACCCACAUUCAGGCAGUAGUCGGUGAUAUUAAAUUCUGCCAGUACUCAGGCCAUAUCAUAUAAAAAGAAAUGAUCCAAUGCAGGCAGACUAACAAAAAUGCUGAACAUCAAACCGUGUUUGGACAGAAAAGGAUGGGGAGGAGAGAAGCUAUCACUACUCCCUUAUAUUCCCAUAGUGACGACAGGACAGUCCCUGUGGUAUCCAUGUGAGUCAGACAAGAUGCUCUUUGGUGGAAGGACUCAAAGAGCACAACUCUCCUGGAUCAUCUCCAAUGUGGCACUUGGUUACAAGCCAAGAAUUCCAUGUGGAAGAGAAAUGAAUAAGAAUCUGGGGUACUGCAGAAGACCAACAGAAGACUGAGAUUUAGGGAAAUGAAAGGGUUAGUAGGAAAGGAGAGAUUUUGCCAUGCAUGGAAUCAGGUGUAGUUCAUACAAGAUGCUGAAACUGAAUUGCGACUAACUCAAAACAUACCUUUGACCUCGUUCACUUCAAGCUGAUCCUUGGAAGGCAGUGAUGGAUGUCUUAAUUUAAAUCAUGAAAAUAAAGCCAAAUCAAAACAGCA
rnacentral:lncRNA from 1 species